UUGCAAUAUGUUUGCAAUUUCUGUAUAUAUAAUUUUCUUGGGGGAAGAUAGAUUUCUCCGAUUGAGUUGUUUGAGAUGCUUUAAAAAGUUAUUAUUAUUCUCAGGUAAGUAGGAGAGGAUUUGACUCUUAACUCCGUUGAGAGUCGGAGUCAAAGGUGAGGUUCAUGGUUUUCUAUCGAGCACGAGAUAUACAUGUCAACUCAAUAGGUAGCUUGUGUGUGAUGCAUAGCUUGAUCUAACGAGACACUUCCGCUCCAUAAAUCUCACCUCAAACUCAAGCUCUCGAUGGAGUUGAGAGAUAAAAUCUUAACUCAACUCAAAGACAAUACAAAUGUAUUAAAAGGUUCAUCAGCUCAAUUUCUUUUUAAAAAAAAAAUUCAACUUCCCCUCAUCACAAAUAAAAUAAAUUUAAAUAAUGAGUAUUGGAAAGUUAAUAGAAAUAGUAACUAAAAUAUUUAAAUUAAGUUAAAAAGAGAUAGUUUUUGUAUUUGUCUGGAUUUGUUACAUUGAGAUCCAUGGGCUACCCAUGAAAUCUCUUCCUUUUUCUCUCAAUCUCAGAGUUACGGCUUUAUAAGCCAAACCCCAUCUCUCACUUUUUUCAGUUUUCUCUUACAAAGAGAUUUCAACUUUCCCUCUCCUAAUAAUUUCCUCAAAAGAAUAUGGAGGAAAAAAAAAAGCUUUCAGAGAAAAAAGCAAUACACAACCUUCCACACGAUCAACCAGCACUGAUGGAUGGGAUUAUGAUGAUGAAGGUCAAGCAAGUACUGCUGAAGAAUGAAUUCCAAUUCGGUGCAGCUGCCACCUCCAUUGCUACUUGUUCAUCUUAAUUUGGUGCUAUCCUACCUGAGCUUCUUUUUGUAUUUUAAUUUCUUAGUAUUUUUUUCUUUCUUUUUUUAAAUAUAAAAUAUUCAUCUUCUUGACCUUGUAAGACCUUUUCUUGACCUUGUAAGACCCAGUCCAGUAUUUCCAACUCUUCUUCUCCUUCCUUGUCUAUCCCUCCUGAGCUGUUUGUAACUUUGAAAUGGUCAAAUCAUAUGCCAAUUCCUUUUCUAGGUUUUUCUGAAUAUUCUUUUUGCAUAUCUUUGGGAAUGAAAUGGUGAAAAUCUUUUAAUGUC